UUCUACACACACUUUCACUUUGUAACACACACACCUCACUUUUUCUACACCCACACACCGUGACACACAGCGACAUUUUCCUCCGUCGGCGAAGCUGCUCCAGCAACCACCGUCCUCCGACAACCUCCGUCUCUGACUUUUCGUCUCUCUCCGUCUCAAACUCUCUCUUCCGUUGCACGAACACAAAUAGGACGCCCUCCGUCUCUUUCUCUGCGUCACGGCUGUCCGGUUGUUCCCUGCGCCACCAUCGCCGAUUUCCGGCAGCUUUAGGCUGGAAUUGACUCCACUUUGUAUAAGAAACUCUCUCAUACAUCUGAUUUGUCUAAUUUCUUCUUCAAUUUGAAUCUAGGCUCAUAAUUGUUAUUUUUCCAAAUCCAAAAUUAAGCAAAAUUAGGUGUAAAUCCAAUCUUUUGAUGGCUUGAUAGCUUCCUACGCCUACUUUGAGGAAUGAAUAGAAUGAAAUUGUUGAACAUGGUGUUUGAAUGUAAGGAUAACAUAGAGUUCUUCAAUAGGGAUUUGGAAGCUUGCUUUGCUAACUUGAUUUAGCUUGGGAAUUUAUUUGCGUAAUAUAUGUUUGGAUCAUGAGAAAAAUGCAUAUUUGGUAUAGGAUGUUUUGGGAAUUAAUUAUAAUGAAUUGAACAUGGAAUUAUAAUGAAAUUUAAUGGGAUGGUUGGAACAUAUAGUUGAAUUACUUUAGAUAGUAGGAAUUUGGAGUUUACAAGUAGAAAUUAUGUUGUGGUGAAAGAAACAGUGGAGUCAGCUUUUAUUUUAUGUUCUGGCAGAAUUUUCCAACUUCAGUUUAACCAAGUAAACGAUCUCCUUUUCUUACCAAUUUUUAACUGAACAAACUUUCAUGUGUCUUCUGCGAUGUGGCCAAAAUUCAGCUUCAACCGAGUCAAGUUGAAUUUAUAAUGAUUUUUGUAAGGGGACUGCGCUGUUCAGCUAGGUUUGGGUAAAAUAGACGUUUAUGGUGUUUAUUUUCAUCGGGAUUAUGUUGAAUUCUGACUUAUUGGUUGUCCGGAUUAGUACUUGUUCUGUAAAAAUCUUAACACAUGACCAAAGUCGAAAUUCUUAUGUUUUAACCUUAUUCUUUUGGACAAGUGUAUGAAGAUAUGAUUGCUAAUAUGAAAUCUGGAAUGAGAGUAGUUUUGACUAGUCUAAUGUCUUGUUGGAUAUAUGCAUAAAUAUUAUGAAAUUAAGUUAGAAGAUAAUGGGAGUAAACACUAAUAGCAUGGAUUAAAUAUAUAAAAUAGAUUUAUUUGAUUACAAUAUGAAUUUGAUAAUUUUAUAUGAAUGUGAUGGGAGAUAACAAGGACAUGGAGAAGGAGCAGGAAUAAAGUGAUUUGUAUGUCAAAGGUGUCUGGCAUUUUUGAGGUUGUAUACUCUUCAUUAGAUUUUAAUUCCCGAUUUAAGUCCACGUAAUUGCAUGUAUAAUAGUGUGGGUUAAUCAGUGAUGCAAUAUAUAUGAUCUGAAUAUGUUGCUUAUGGUGUGAAUUACGUGAGUUCUGGAUAUGUGAAUCUAUGAUGGUAUUAACAUAAUUGGAAGUUACUCUGUUAAUUUGAUAUGCUAUUGAUAUGAUAUGGUGAUAAAAGAAGUUACUGAUCUGUUGUGUUAAAGAUUAUUGGAAAUAAGUAAUUUGAUUAGAAAAUGAAUAUAAAUGUGCCUGGAAAGUUAAAGAGAUAAAUGUGGAAAUGAGCAUUAAGGUAAAUGAGAUAAAUUAUAUAUGCCUAUGAAAUGUAUACUUAUAUGAUUUACAUGUGAAGAUGUCUGAUCUAUCUGUGAUAAUGUCUGAUCUGUAUGCGUUGAUGUGUUAUGUCGGAAAUUGUCAGAUAUAAAGUAUAUUUGAUUGUGUUUACGCCCCGUGCUUGAGUGUAUUCGGUGGGUACAAUUGGCAUGCCAUAGGACAGCAGCGCUGCAUUAUCUGUGAUCUCUCGUCUUCUGGAUAACCGAAGCGAGGAUCGUCUGUUAUCUGAUGGGCCCCUAUCUGAUCUGUCUGAUAUGCACCCUCAUGGGUGAUCUGAUUAUCUGUCUGCACCCUAAUGGGUGGUCUGUGCGGCGUCCUCUCGAGGACCAUGACCGCGUCUGUGUCUGAUUCUGUUUCUGAUCUGGUCCGCGUACCCUAGUUUGUCACUAAGCACUUAAUGGGGCUAUAUGUGUUCUGAUAUGUGAGAACAAUGGUGAUCGCUAUGUGUUAUGAUAUGUGAUUGUGUGAAACCUCUGUUAUAACUCUGAUAUAUUUGGUACAUCAGAUCAAGUGUUGUUAUGUGUGGUUGGAUACGUGAAAAUGUUGGUGUUCUAUAUACGUGUUGGUGUAUGAAUAAUAUUGUGAUAUAUUAUGUGGUUAACUUGAUAAUUGGUGAUGUGCACUUUACUUUGUGUUCUAUCCUAUUAGUUUAUGAAUUUAUAUGUGACUAUGAAUCUGGUAAAUUCCAUGAGAUCAAGGAAUGAUGACCUAAACUUAUGAUUAUGUUGUUGGGGGUUUCUGAUAUUAGAUAUAUGUAAAUGGAUACGAUGAGGUAGGCUUUGGAGUGUUUUUUGGAUUAAUAAUAAUAAAAAUGCAUAGGUUGCAUAACGUUUACUUAACCUCGGAAAUUAGGCUCUAAUGUUGAGUAUACUACUGGGCUUGUUGAAGCUCACCCCUUUCUUUUUACCCUCUGCAGAUUAGAGGAUCAGACCUAGCUCUUUUGUUGUACAGCUGCUCAGCCAGGUCACUAGCCAGUCUUUUGAGUUCGAGUAAUUCUUGGAUAUGUUAGUUGUGGCAUGUAUAGAAAGUAUAAUGUAGUUUGGAUGUUUCAUUUACUUCGUUAUCCAGGUUGUAUAAAUAUAUAUAGACUUUGGGAAACAGGUUUAUUGUCCAAUUUCAGACGUUAUAUAGCAGUUUUUCCGUUUGCCAAGUAAAUGAAAAUAAUAUAUCCUUGUAUAUAAAAAUCAAGGAUUUUCUGUUAA